rfam:Bombyx mori DNA, contig: Bm_scaf90_contig34380, strain: p50T/Dazao, build 2, whole genome shotgun sequence.
UUAACUCAAAUUUGUAUGGAGUUGGAACAUUUGCUUACGUUUGCCGUUAGGGGCAUUGUUCCAAGUGCAUACAAGCUUGAGUUA